GCUCAAGAAACUUAAAGGAAUUGACGGGGCCGCACAAGCGGUGGAGUAUGUGGUUUAAUUCGAUGCAACGCGAAGAACCUUACCUGGUCUUGACAUCCCGGAGACCCUUAGGAAACUAGGGGUGCUUCCAUCUGGAAGAAUCUGGAGACAGGUGCUGCAUGGCUGUCGUCAGCUCGUGUCGUGAGAUGUUGGGUUAAGUCCCGCAACGAGCGCAACCCUUGCCUUUAGUUGCCAGCAGUUCGGCUGGGCACUCUAAAGGGACUGCCGGUGUUAAACCGGAGGAAGGUGGGGAUGACGUCAAGUCCUCAUGGCCUUUAUGACCAGGGCUACACACGUACUACAAUGGCCGAUACAAAGGGCAGCGACACUGCGAGGUGAAGCCAAUCCCGUAAAAUCGGUCUCAGUCCGGAUUGGAGUCUGCAACUCGACUCCAUGAAGUUGGAAUCGCUAGUAAUCGUGGAUCAGCAUGCCACGGUGAAUACGUUCCCGGGCCUU
rnacentral:rRNA from 1 species